rnacentral:rRNA from 1 species
GAUGAACGCUGGCGGCGUGCCUAAUACAUGCAAGUCGAGCGAACAGACGAGGAGCUUGCUCCUCUGACGUUAGCGGCGGACGGGUGAGUAACACGUGGAUAACCUACCUAUAAGACUGGGAUAACUUCGGGAAACCGGAGCUAAUACCGGAUAAUAUAUUGAACCGCAUGGUUGAAUAGUGAAAGACGGUUUUGCUGUCACUUAUAGAUGGAUCCGCGCCGCAUUAGCUAGUUGGUAAGGUAACGGCUUACCAAGGCCACGAUGCGUAGCCGACCUGAGAGGGUGAUCGGCCACACUGGAACUGAGACACGGUCCAGACUCCGACGGGAGGCAGCAGUAGGGAAUCUUCCGCAAGGGGCGAAAGCCUGACGGAGCAACGCCGCGUGAGUGAUGAAGGUCUUCGGAUCGGAAAACUCUGUUACUAGGGAAGAACAAAUGUGUAAGUAACUAUGCACGUCUUGACGGUACCUAAUCAGAAAGCCACGGCUAACUACGUG